rnacentral:rRNA from 1 species
GUCCGAGGCCACACCACCCUGAACGUGCUGAUCUCAUCUGAUCUUGGGAGCUAAGCAGGAUCGGGCCUGGUUAGUACUUGAAAGAAAGAAAAACACAACCUACUAUAAUGCCUCUUGCA